rnacentral:rRNA from 1 species
UACGAGGGGGGCAAGCGUUGUUCGGAAUUAUUGGGCGUAAAGGGUGCGUAGGCGGUUUGGUAAGUCUUAUGUGAAAUCUACAGGCUCAACUUGUAGUCUGCAUGAGAAACUGCUGGGCUUGAGUAUGGGAGAGGUGAGUGGAAUUCCUGGUGUAGCGGUGAAAUGCGUAGAUAUCAGGAGGAACACCUGUGGCGAAAGCGGCUCACUGGACCAUAAACUGACGCUGGAUGACACGAAAGCUAGGGGAGCAAACAGG